GGGGGCGACCAGGUCUUGACGGAGUUGCAACGGCGAUUGCCGCGUGUCGUGGGGCUGGAGGCCACGUAAAUAACCAGCAAAAAAAUAAGUGCCGACGAUCACGUCGAGUACGCUCUCGCUGCUUAAUUAAAAACUAAGCGACGAGCGGAGCCUCAUCAGUGCCGAUGCUGAUGGGGGUCUCCAUAAUACUCACCGGCUGGCUGACGGAGCCGCUCGAUUACCGUCAGCGAGACUCGUCGAGCUGGUCUGUAGCUGCGGGUGGCACUCCCCGAGGUUAUGGACGAGAAAAUAACGAAUGCCUACACAUGUAGACGCGUUGCGCGUACACCUUCGGACCCGGGUUCGAUUCCCGGCGCCUCCACCA
rnacentral:tmRNA from 1 species